UUUAUGGAGAGUUUGAUCCUGGCUCAGGAUGAACGCUGGCGGCGUGCCUAAUACAUGCAAGUCGAGCGAACAGAUAAGGAGCUUGCUCCUUUGACGUUAGCGGCGGACGGGUGAGUAACACGUGGGUAACCUACCUAUAAGACUGGGAUAACUUCGGGAAACCGGAGCUAAUACCGGAUAAUAUUUCGAACCGCAUGGUUCGAUAGUGAAAGAUGGUUUUGCUAUCACUUAUAGAUGGACCCGCGCCGUAUUAGCUAGUUGGUAAGGUAACGGCUUACCAAGGCGACGAUACGUAGCCGA
rnacentral:rRNA from 1 species